GAGGAGAGCCUGAGGGGGCGGGAAGCCGUGAGGCGCGGCCACGGUGAACCUGAGGAGGAGCUGCUCUAUGCGUGAGUUCUCUAGGCACAUCUGCUGCCAUGAGAUGCCUCAGCCAAGGACUGUGAGCCAAGAUAUGAGGGAAAUAGUUUAACCAGAUGUGUGCCCAUGUCUGCAACACAGAAUUUUAAGAUGCUGAAAUUUAAAAGCUUGCCAUCAUCUCCCCUGCCUCCCCAGCAGUAAGGGAAGAUUGAAAUCACUGAGAAUGGAAUCCAGGACAUUUUCUAGCUCUCCAAAUGCAGCGAGAACAUUUAUGGACUGACCUUCCACAGCUUCCUUCAAGCACUGGAAUUUCCAGGUGCAUGUUUUCAGAGCACAAGCAACCCCAGGAAAGCUGCUUUUCAAAAGGCAUUUCUGCUACAUACGUUACUGAAGUAUUUCAUUUCCCCUCCAUGUGAUCAGCUACGUGCAUUGAGAGAAAGUAAAUCCAGACUUCAAAGUAUCUGACCGGAGGCAGGCAGUUGCUUCUCCAUCAGUUCAAGGAAGAAGUCAAAGGACAAACUGGCAAGGUCUCCCGGACAAGGUAAAACCAUUAGCAGAAACCUAAAUGAACUGAUUCUCAGACCUUAAAAAUAAACUGCAUUGCUCACAGUACAAGUUACCUUUGCACCAAAGGGCAAAAAUACCACUCACCCACACUAGGGAUUCUUUAAGAAUUUAAAUCACAUUCAUUAGAAACUAAAUAAACAUAACACAGUACUCUUCUCUAAGCAGAGAAAGGAUGAAGAUCUGAAACCAUUCCUAAUCUUAAGCUCUGUAGUGCACCUAGGAGGAGAACUCCUUGAAUGAACCUGCAAAAGCACAGGUCUUCAUUCAUGAGGAGAGGAAUGAAAAUCCUGCUUCAUAACGUAGCAAGUGUUUAAAUAAACUUGUUCAGAUGAAGAUAUCUCCUCUCAGGGGAAAAUAUAAGACUAUAAGAAAGGUCAUGGAAAUCAUUUCAAAACUGGAAUGUUAAGAGAGCUUCGUUUCAGCCCUUCACUACGUUCUUGCAACUGAAGAAAUGCUAACUGCCUAGAGCACUCAGUUGGUCAGCAGAAACUCCUUUUAAACAUGAAUAUAGAAGGAAAAAAAAAUCCCUGGACAGUGCUGUUUUAAAAGAAUCUUAUGGAUUCCUGUGAGUUUCAAAACAAACAAACAAAACAUGAUGCUGAGGCAAUAUCUGGAGCAAGCAGUCUUUUAGCAUUCAGACUGUAACAGAAAUAUUUUAAAAUGCACUCUUAGAUAUGAGAACUCCCAUGGCCUACAGAGGUGAAUAAUAUUGGAGGCUACUGAAGUUUAUUUUUCUUGAAGUUUUCACUUCAAAUAAAGCUUUGUUUUAAAAU
rnacentral:lncRNA from 7 species